rnacentral:rRNA from 1 species
CCCAGACUCCUACGGGAGGCAGCAGUGGGGGAUAUUGCACAAUGGGGGGAACCCUGAUGCAGCGACGCCGCGUGGGUGAAGGAGCGUUUCGGCGCGUAAAGCCCUAUCGGCAGGGAAGAAGGAGGACGGUACCUGACUAAGAAGCCCCGGCUAACUACGUGCCAGCAGCCGCGGUAAUACGUAGGGGGCAAGCGUUAUCCGGAUUUACUGGGUGUAAAGGGGGCGCAGACGGCAGCGCAAGCCAGGAGUGAAAGCCCGGGGCCCAACCCCGGGACUGCUCUUGGAACUGCGCGGCUGGAGUGCAGGAGGGGCAGGCGGAAUUCCUGGUGUAGCGGUGAAAUGCGUAGAUAUCAGGAGGAACACCGGUGGCGAAGGCGGCCUGCUGGACUGCGACUGACGUUGAGGCCCGAAAGCGUGGGGAGCAAACAGGAUUAGAUACCCGAGUAUG